CUGGGGCGGAUUAGACAGCUCUGUCAGGGCACUUGAGUGUAGAAGCCAAGCUGUGCCUCCUUCAGUGUACCUCAGAGUUAAGUGCUCAGUGCACCGUGUGGAACAUAAAGUCAGCAUAACGGAGUGGACUCUAGCUCCUUUCUCACCAAUCAGCUGACCACGGGUUCUUUUCCUCUAUGUGGACAGGACUACGAUAGCAGUGUGAUCUGGCCCCAUGUAACAUCUCUCGGCCUGAGGACAGUUCCGUGCAACUCUUCGGGUGACCAGAGGCCGCUUCCAGAAGCAGCCUGCAUUGAUGAACAGAGGCAAGGAGAGAGAGCUCUAAGGAGACCUGCUGUUGCAAUACCAGAAGAGGCAGCCUGGCAGAGUGUCUGCCAGCCUACUCUGUGAGCUUAAGCAACCUGCUAUGCAGCCCCAGAAGGGGUCUUUGGACCAAUCACAGCUACUUGUUUGGUCAGUCACUAGCUAAAGAGAUUGGGGCUUAUGUAUUGGGCAGGUUAUGCUCAGUCCUUUAGCAUUUACUGAAGAAAGUAAGAGCCUCCCCCAGCCAAGGUGGACACGGUUAUUUGAAGGUCAAGGCUUCAGACUAGCGGGCUAAAUGGUUUUAAACAACUCUGGGUGGGGCUGAACCUUCAAGAUCCACAGAGACCAAACACAAGCUUUUAUAUAGUUGUCUCAAGGUGUGUUUAAGGAGUGCUGAAGAUACCUGGUGCUGGUGUAACAUAGUCUGUCUGUCUGUCUGUCUGUCAUACUGAUAGACCUUUUGCUCUGGGAGCUUGGGUAGUGCAAGAGAGUCUAGUCUGCCAGCUGCUAACUAGGUAGUCUUUAUUCUCUGCUUUGAGAAAAAUGAACCACAGAAAGAGUGCUUACAGUCUGAGUUUAUAGAACUUCUGUGAACAGGAGCAUUGAUUUUUAGCAGAUCUCAACCAUGCUUUGACAAUACUUCAUCCCUGUCCAGUGACCAGAGAGAGGUAGGCCCUGGUCUGUCUCACCCUCAUUGACUCUAAAGCUAGCAAGGUAGCAGAGUCUAUAUUCCAGGCUGAACAUAGACACCCAAGCAGAACUUGACCUUAGGACCUGAGUAUAGACAACCUGUCUCUCCUUAGUCUACUGUGACCUGGACUGAUCUUAGGUUUCCUCUACAAGAACAGGAGUAGACCUCCCUGGCAGUAUGGGACACCCUGAAUCUCUCUAACUCUCCAGCUGUGCUUUCUAGGCAGAACUGAAUCCAGCAGCUCCAAAGAGAUCAGCAUCUCCGGUUCCAGCCUUGGCUCUGCACACUGCAGAGUUCAGGGUUUCUCAGCUGGUCUGAAAGGCAGCAAACUCCAGAAUCACUCCCAUCUCCAUUGUCUUUGGACCUGGGUUCCAGGAACCUUCAGGAUGCCAGGCUUGGUACUGGUAUCCAAAUUCUAGUCCUCACUAUUACUUAGCAAGCAUUCUUAACUGCUGAGCCAUCUCUCCAGCCCCAAGCUUGUGACUUCUAAGAGAGCUGUCCAGGUCUCUGGGCACACACUCGCUCUGCCAUAAUGUUCUGCUCAACUAUCAAACUUGGAUCAACCUGUCUGUAACCAUGAGCCAAGGAGCCCUACUCCUUCAGAUUGGUUAUGUCAGGUAUUCAGUCACAGUGGCACAUAAGAAAAUGGUGCAUGUCAAUAGAGACAUGUCAAUAGAGACAUUGAUAGAAAGAUUGGCUGGAGUCAGUCACUGGCGUCAAUGCUGUCCCUGCAGUUCUGAGAGCUCCUAUGCCCUUCACAGCCUCUUGUCAAGUUCACCUCAGAAGAACGAGUUGGCUUUACUCUUAUCGUUUCCAGUUCAUCUUCUACCUGAGCUCUUUGUUUUCUCACAGGCAUGCAUCCAGCACUCAGAACUGAGGGAAGUACUUUCCACUUCCUGCCUUCUCCGCCCUCCCUGCUCCCUGAAUUCUGAGGAAGAAACUCAAUACCCAGCAAACACUGGAAAGUGCCCUGCUGACGCAGACUACCCUCUUAACCUAAAAUCCCAUCUCCAGGACCCACUGAAUGAUCAACUGUUAUUACUUCUAAAUGUGGGCCAUCCUGGCUGGCUCUGCUCAUGUGAGUUUCUGUGAUUCAAAUGGCAGUUUGGACACAGAGGCAAGCAGACAGCGUUAUAUACACACCGCACUUGCUCAGAUCACUACACUGCCUCUGUUGAUUGACCCAAGGUUGGACAGCAUUAGGACUCCAUUAGCAAAUAAACAGAAAGGCUGUUCCAAGCACCAUCAAAUAUUAUCUCAGGUUCUAUAAUUACGAGAGGAGAUAGACUCUUGCACUUGAUUUCUGGGAAUGCAUGCACACGAUCAAAGUCAGAAAAUAAUCCUAAAUAAACCUUAAAAAUUAUUGUUGCAACACAAGAAGCUCCAGGAAAAUCAGCUUGAUUAAAUUUCAUUUUUCUAAGAACCAGCUAAUGAAAUUCUAUUCACUUGAGUAAUACAACCUAUUUAGCCACUCAAAUGACUGGACCCUCCCCCCAAAACAGUAAGGAGAGGGAAAACGGUGCUCCUCGAUGUUCUUGGGGGAGACUCUGGUUCUUUAAGGGAUGUAAAAUUUCAGAAGUAUUUUAAGGUAGUUUAGGGUCACAGGGUACAGAUUUUGAUCUCACGGUUCUCGAAGGGACUGGAUUGUGCACAAAGUCAAGAAGCAAGUACCUGGGAUGUGCCCAGGGUGGGCGGUUCCUGCACACAAGCACACACAACAAAAAACUUGCUACAGAGAGGAGCAAAAGGAAAGCAGGAGGUGAACCUUGAUUUUUGCCAUUAUUGAAGCCUGCUUCUCAGUGUGUUCUAACAGGAGACACAGGACAUGGGGUCGUAUAAUUCCCAUGCUUAUGACAUGGGGUCAUGUGAUUCCUGUGCUCACAACAUGGGGCCAUGUGACUCCCUCGCUCUCUGCUAUCAGUAUCUUGCAGGAGCCCUGGAGGAAAAAAUUUUGUGCUCAGUUGACUAGUGCAAAAAGCAGUUCAGGUAAAAUUUAGCUUUUCCCAGGUCUGAACCAAUGGCUAAAAGAAAACCUUGAUCCCCUCCACUCCCCCCACGGCUGCUCAACUUCUUGUCAAGAAGGACUAGCUUUGUCAGUGACCUGGGCAAGGGCUACAGCACUGUUCUGUUCACUAUAGCCAUGAGGUGGCUCAGAAGAUAAGCCACUGAGGAACUCAAAAGACCUGUUUGCCCAAGACAUUAAAAGGAGGCUAAAUUGAAAAUCUGAGCACUCUAGUUGGGGUGCAUUCUUCAGGGAGUGUAAUGAAUUCUUCGCUUAUUCAUAAAUCAGAGCCUUACUGUAACCCCCUUCCCCCCAGCCUGAAAUCUGACUGAUCAGGUUUGACUGUUAGCACCAGGAGAGCAUCAGGGGUGGAGCCUGUCACCCUAUAGGUCUGCCACUCCCACUGCUACUACCUGCCGCCUAGCUGUUCCGGAGCCAACACGUGGUCACCUGCAACUGGACUCCAUGGAUGAUUUGGUGGGAAUGGGCACCUCCCCCCUCUUCAUAACCCCAUGUCUCCGAAUAGUAAAAUUGAACCUUGAUCA